rnacentral:sRNA from 1 species
UAAAUACACAGUGCUUGUCCUUGGCCUUUCUGUGGGCAUACCAGUGUCAGCUGCACUUGUAGGGGCCCAAGUACCUCAUGACCCACUCCGCCGCCUUCCUCUCCAGGAUCCCCAAGGCUAGGAGGCCAACCUACUAACAGGGUGGGUAUGGUGUGUGGUUUCACUCAGCUCUUCUCAUGGGGUUUCUCUGAGCUCCAUUCAUACCAGAAAGGGAGCAGGAGAGAGAGGACAAGUGGAUCCAACAGCCUUCGCUCCAGGGGAAUCAGGGCAUCGCCUCCUUUUCUGGGAGGACACUCCCUUCUGAUGGUGAAUGGGAACUCCCUUCCUCCUGCAGCAGCCUGCCUGCAGCCGUCCUGGUAGAACAGUGUGGACACUGCAGAAGCUGUCACUGCCCAAGAAAGAAAGGACCCUAGAGCCAAGGCAAAGAGUCUUGAAAGCGCCACAAGCAGCAGCUGCUGAGCCAUGGCUGAAGGGGAAAUCACCACCUUCACAGCCCUGACCGAGAAGUUUAAUCUGCCUCCAGGGAAUUACAAGAAGCCCAAACUCCUCUACUGUAGCAACGGGGGCCACUUCUUGAGGAUCCUUCCGGAUGGCACAGUGGAUGGGACAAGGGACAGGAGCGACCAGCACACAGACACCAAAUGAGGAAUGUUUGUUCCUGGAAAGGCUGGAGGAGAACCAUUACAACACCUAUAUAUCCAAGAAGCAUGCAGAGAAGAAUUGGUUUGUUGGCCUCAAGAAGAAUGGAAGCUGCAAACGCGGUCCUCGGACUCACUAUGGCCAGAAAGCAAUCUUGUUUCUCCCCCUGCCAGUCUCUUCCGAUUAAAGAGAUCUGUUCUGGGUGUUGACCACUCCAGAGAAGCUUCGAGGGGUCCUCACCCGGUUGACCCAAAAAUGUUCCCUUGACCAUUGGCUGCGCUAACCCCCAGCCCACAGAGCCUGAAUUCGUAAGCAA